UGAGUAACGCGUAUCCAACCUUCCCCCUUAGUAGGGCAUAGACCCGGUGAAAAUCGGAUUAAUACCCUAUGUUCUUCACAGCAGACAUCUAACGUGAAGCAAAGGUUUACCGCUAAGGGAUGGGGAUGCGUCUGAUUAGGUAGUAGGCCGGGGUAACGGCCCACCUAGCCUUCGAUCAGUAGGGGUUCUGAGAGGAAGGUCCCCCCACAUUGGAACUGAGACACGGUCCAAACUCCUACGGGAGGCAGCAGUGAAGGAAUAUUGGUCAAUGGGCGAGAGCCUGAACCAGCCAAGUAGCGUGCAGGAUGACGGCCCUAUGGGUUGUAAACUGCUUUUAUAUGGGGAUAAAGUUCACCACGUGUGGUGUUUUGCAGGUACCAUAUGAAUAAGGACCGGCUAAUUCCGUGCCAGCCGCCGC
rnacentral:rRNA from 1 species